UACGGAGGGUGCAAGCGUUAUCCGGAUUCACUGGGUUUAAAGGGUGCGUAGGUGGGCAGGUAAGUCAGUGGUGAAAUCCUGUAGCUUAACUAUAGAACUGCCAUUGAUACUAUUUGUCUUGAAUACCCUGGAGGUGAGCGGAAUAUGUCAUGGUAAGCGGUGAAAUGCUUAGAUAUGACAUAGAACAUCUAUUGCGAAGGCAGCUCACUACGGGAAUAUUGACGCUGAGGCACGAAAGCGUGGGGAUCAAACAGG
rnacentral:rRNA from 1 species